UACGUAGGGGGCAAGCGUUGUCCGGAUUUAUUGGGCGUAAAGAGCGUGUAGGCGGCCAUACAGGUCAGCUGUGAAAACUCGAGGCUCAACCUCGAGACGUCGGUUGAAACCGUAUGGCUAGAGUCCGGAAGAGGAGAGUGGAAUUCCCGGUGUAGCGGUGAAAUGCGCAGAUAUCGGGGAAGAACACCUAUGGCGAAGGCAGCUCUCUGGGACGGUACUGACGCUGAGACGCGAAAGCGUGGGGAGCGAACAGG
rnacentral:rRNA from 1 species